GUAUUAAAGGUGUUGCCUGCCCAGUGAAACAUUUUAACGGCCGCGGUAUCCUAACCGUGCAAAGGUAGCGUAAUCAUUUGUCUUUUAAAUAAAGACUCGUAUGAAAGGCUAAAUGAGGACGAAACUGUCUCUUAUAGUUGACCAGUUAAACUGAUCUCCAAGUACAAAAGCUUGGAUAAACACAUAAGACGAGAAGACCCUGUGGAGCUUAAAACCACACUAUUACAAUAAAUAGCAUAAGUUUUAAGUUGGGGCGACUUCGGAACAAAACAAAACUUCCGAGCACGGAGCCAACAGCUCUAACAUAGACCCACAAGUCAAAGAAUAAAAUGACCCAGUCACACUGAACAACGGACCAAGUUACCCCAGGGAUAACAGCGCCAUCUUCUUCAAGAGUCCAUAUCGACAAGAAGGUUUACGACCUCGAUGUUGGAUCAGGACACCCAAAUGGUGCA
rnacentral:rRNA from 1 species